GAUCGAAAAACAAUAAUACAUAGUAUAAAAGAAAAUAAAAAUAUUAGGUCAUCUAAUGAACAAUGCGGUCGCUUUAAACGUGUUGUUAAUAUCUAAGUCAAAGAGCGAGUCAACUUCAACUGUCUCUUCCAACUUCCUAUUCCUGGUUUACGUGAUUAUUAUGGUUUGCACGAGUUUUGAUAGGUUUAGUUCAAUGGUAGGUUUUUUUUUCUCUUUUCCAAAGUUUAAGGGAGAGCGAUAAAGCAACAUUCUUGAGUUCAUUUCAAAUUCGAGGAAUAAGUUUCGGGCAACGGAAAAUCUAAAAGUUGCACGUUAAUAGCACUCGCCCAGAAGAGAAAGCUCUUAUUAUCAAGUUACCGUAAUUUGAGGACAUUUUGACAAACAUUGAUGAAAAUAACUCUAUAGGACUUGUCAUACCCUUAAGAGUACAACAAAAUGUUGUUGAUGGUCAACUUACUCAGAGAGGUUCGAAAUAAUCAAUUGCAAGCCGUAGUGAGUUUCUCAUAAAUUUCGUGAGCCGCUCAAGCAACUAAUGAUGUGAUUCCAGGUACCGCCCAAGAGUUUUGCCAUAAAUCUUCUGAAUGAAAAAAAAAAAAACGCUUGCUUUAUUUAGAAGAAAAAUUUUUCUACUCAACAUUGUCUGACUGGAUAAAAAGAAGAGAAAGGCCUUCGUAUAAACCAUUGGAAAUGGUAUUAUGCAACCUAGAGAUAUACUGUACAAGGCUGCGUAUUUUACUAUACAACGAUGUGUGCUUUAAAGUACAUGUCUUCUCUUUUCUUUUUUUUUUUUUUUCUUUCUCUUAUAAUGCACUAUUCUUUAUUCAUUCUUAAGUGAAUGGCAACACGGACAACAUAUCAAGAACAAUGUUAUCAGAAGAUGAGAGGGAAUAGUGGCUAUCUUCGAUUUUUCAAGAGAAGUAUUUUUCUUUCGCCUAAAAAAUGUUCUGGGUCGGUGAGAGUUCAGCAAAUUAUGAUCGUUUAAAUUUCAGGGCUGUGGACGACCCUUGGCCGUAGCUAUAGCGAGUUCGCAGUCGGUUGGGCGUACAUCCUACUAGUACUAUUUUUCCUUGCUACUUUAUAACCAUCACAGCGCUAUAGUUCUAGUACACAUCUCCUGAAUUAUGGGUCAAGUUAUAUUUAAAAAAGGAUAUCUUAGUAUAUACAAGCAUUACAGGAGACUUCAACAAUUUCUUAAAACCUUUUCAUCUCCAAUAUCUUACCAAUUAUGUCAAUAACUCUGUUGAAAUUUCACCAAAAAAUAGGGAGAACCAUAUCCCUGUAUAACUAUGUUGAAAGGAAAUAAAACCUCGAAUAAAAAGUUUGACCAUUUACUGUCUAAGGUAAACGUCUACGAAAUGGUACAAUUGUUGUUGAGUUGUCAGCAUGUUUUCGGAACAUGAGGACAUUCUUCUGAACAACUCAUACGCAUUUGCAAGCCCAAUAAUAGGAAGUCCAUUAGAGGUAGAUAAAGCUAUUUUUCAACUUCCUGUCCCAGCUUAUGAACGAAUGAGCUAAAACAACGCGGAAUCUCAUAAUCAAUUUGUUCUUCUAGAUCUUGAAAUCGGAAUUAAUAACUCUACGGUCGUUGAUGUAAUUGAUUUGUGUAAUCAAUGGGCUGCAAAAUGAGUUUAGAUUGAUUCAGACUGCGAACCUCUAACAUAAGUCAGCUUAUUGUCGUUGGGUUAUGCACGUAUGUAAAUUUAAAUUUAAUUUUCAAAAAGUUUAACUCUUAUUAGAGGAUGCGGCUAUGUCCUAACUAUUUGUUGUACAUAUAUGUAUGUAUAUAUAUAUAUAUAACUUGCUUCCAAAAAAAAAAAAA